rnacentral:rRNA from 1 species
AUGGCUCCAGCUCGAUUUGUUGCAGGGAUGCUGCUGGCGGCGAUCGCCUGUGUGCUCUCCGUGGCCGCGGACAACCCGACCACGCCCUCCCAGCAACCCUUCGUCUGGCAGAAGGCGCAUGCGACGUUCUACGGCGGCGCUGACGCCUCUGACACAAUGAGUGGCGCGUGCGGGUAUGGUAACCUCUUCUCUGAAGGGUACGGGACACGCACGGCGGCUCUGAGCACCGUGUUGUUCAAUGACGGCGCCGCAUGCGGGCAGUGCUACAAGAUCGCAUGCGACCGAAAGCGCGCGGAUCCGUUGUUUUGCAAGCCUGGUGUGACGGUCACUGUCACGGCCACGAACUUCUGCCCGCCCAACGAUGCCCUCCCCAAUGACAACGGCGGCUGGUGCAACCCACCGCGGCCGCAUUUCGACAUGGCCCAGCCAGCCUGGGAGAAGAUCGGUGUUUAUAAAGGUGUUCAUUCCAUCAAUUGUGUAUUCUUCAAAUUAACUUCUAUCAUGCAUUCUGUGAAUAGAUAUGUCAUUCUAGUGCUAUGCAUGGUAACUCACGCUUAUAAGAAAGAAACACUAUUCGAAUCGAAACUCAAGUUUGUGUUGUUGAAUGGUCGCAAGUAG